rnacentral:rRNA from 1 species
UACAGAGGUUGCAAGCGUUGUUCGGAUUUAUUGGGCGUAAAGGGUUCGUAGGCGGACCGGAAAGUCAGAUGUGAAAUCCCACAGCUCAACUGUGGAACUGCAUUUGAAACUUCCGGACUAGAGUGUGAGAGGGGUAAAGGGAAUUCCCGGUGUAAGGGUGAAAUCUGCAGAGAUCGGGAGGAGCACCAGUCGCGAAGGCGCUUUACUGGCUCACUACUGACGCUCAGGAACGAAAGCUAGGGUAGCAAACGGG